rnacentral:lncRNA from 1 species
UCCAUUUUUCAUAUAAAUUGGACGAUACAGCCAAUCAUUUACUUUCAUAAAAAACUAUCUUAAGAAAACCAAUUCUUCUCUUGUUGCAUAAUUCCCUUCCCCACAUCAUGUCUACGAAGAGUGUAUUUUUUCUCCUAUCGGUUAUAUGCUUUACAAAUUCUGUGAAUGCUCAAUUACCUUCGUUUUGGCCUAACGUGACCCAAUGCCUAUCAACAUUGAAAAAUAUUCCGGGAUGUUUUGAAGGGAUCACUCAGUCUAUAUUGACUGGUAAAAUUGGUACGAUAACUCCUUAUUGUUGUCAACUUUUUUUGGGAGCUGUACCCGACUGUUUAGAACUACUUCCUGUCAAUCCUUUUCCUCCUAUGUUAAUGCAGAAAUGCUCCCAUAAUAUUUAAGAUUAUAUUUUAAAAUAGUUAUGUAAAAUUACAUUUUCUACAUAAGGGUUAAAUCCAAUAAUAUUCAAGAACAAAAAGAAGAUCUGAUAAUUCUAAUGUUCCUUUCUUAUAUUUUAGUGUCUGUAGCUUUCAUAUAAUAAUGCUUAUUAUUAUUUGAUUAAGAGAAUAUCCUUUUAAUAUCAAAAAUAUAUAUCAAUGAAGUUUAAGAAUAUGAUAAAUAUAAUUCCAAAGACAUGUCACUGAGGUUGGUUAAUGAAUGAAUCAUUUGUCUUUCUUUUCCAAAGUUGGUUAAUGAAUGAAUCAUUUGUCUUUCUUUUCCAACUUCAGUUUUCUAAUAACAUGACAAAAAAAAUUGACAACGAUUAAAAGUAGAGAAAAUAAAAGAGAAACUAGAUAGAUACGUUUUUUUUAACUUCAGUUUUCUAAUAACAUGACAAAAAAAAUUGACAAUGAUUAAAAGUAGAGAAAAUAAAAGAGAAACUAGAUAGAUACGUUUUUUUCUAACGCUGAUUUAUUAUGAUAUUACAAUUAUAAUAUAAGAAAGAUUACAUAGACGAUUCGACAACCGAUGAUAUUACCUGCUUCAUGAGUACUUACGCAUAACUGCAUCACCUGAGCCACCUAUGAAAAUCCACGUCUGACCAGAUUUAGUUGCACCAUGUUGAAGAUCAUUUGUAAGCAUUUCUUCCGUAGUCUGCAUAAUUAUUUAAUAAAUCGCUCUCUCCGGAACUUGAAACCUGGAUUUCAUGUAAUCAGUGAAAAAAAUGUAUAGUCAGGGAUUAGAUCCCCAGACCUAGAUGUAGAAACUUUUAAACUUUAACCAGUAGGCUACGGUGUUUCCACGAUAGAUGGAUCUAACACAAGUAUUUUUGUCACACUCUUUGUGUAGUUGCGAUAUAGCUGGCGGAGAUUGCCACACCCAGUAGAAGACAAACUUCAAAAUCGCUCAUCACACCUAUUUGGUCCAUAAGUUUCCGAUAGCAAGUCUAAUUUUUCAUCUAUAAUACCGCAAACACAUCCAUUAUACUUACCAAAUUAUACAAAAUUUACUUGACUGAUAUGAAUAUAUAUCUCGCAAGCACAAAAAGCCAGCAACAUACAUUUCAAGGAAACAUAAACUUCGUAGUUUGUGGGAGUAAAGGCAUCUAUGUUGUAAUAAAAAACCUAACCACAAUCAGAGCCGGACCUGAGAUUACGAGACUCAUCUAAAAAAAUACAAUUUUAUUUUUAAUAUGAAGACAUAAAUUUUAUAUUAAUUGAUAUAAAGAUGUCUAUUCAUUAGGUCAAUCACAAAUUUUAAUUUUUUUUAUUACAACUAAUUUUAACCGAACAUCACCAAAUUUCUUCAAAAUUACAAUAAUAAUAUCCACUAAGCAUUAUUUGAGAAGUAAUUUGACACAUAUUCUUUCUACAAUUAUUUUCAUAAAAGAAAUGUGACAUGACUAUUAAAAUUGAUGACAAGGCUUAUUGCUAAAUAUGACAUUAUAAAUUACAUUAAUUAUUGAUUUAUAUUUUUAGUAAAUCUUUUAUAAUAUAUAUGAUAAUAACUCAUACAUUAGAUUUAAUGUUGAUUUAUAUUUUUGGUAAUUUUUUUAGAAUAUGACAAUAACUCAUACUUUUUUGUCAACAAUAAUAACUCAUACAUCAUUACUAAAAUAAAUAUAUUCAAAUAUGAAAUUAUAAUUUUUGAAAUAUUAUUCAAUUAUAUAUUUUAUAAUUUCUACAAUUUUGCUUAAAACAUUAUAAAUUUUAAUCAUUAAAUCAUUAGUUUCCUUAUAUAUUUAGAAAUUUUAGAAAUGCUGUUUAAUUUUAAUUUUUGAUAAUUAUACAAUUUUAUAUCAAUUUUUUUAUUAAUUUUAUGCAAGUUGAUUUAAUAUAUUUAACCAAAAGAAAUAGAUAAAAAAAUCUAUCUAAGAUUAUAUAUAUAUAUAUAUAUGCAUUCUUAAAUAUAAUUUAAAAAUAAUAAAUUAUUUUUAAAUCUAUUUCAUGUUUAAUUAAAUCAAAUUUACAUUAAAAUAUUGAUAAGAAAAUAAUAAAAUUUACAUUAUUAAUAAAAUUUUAUUUUUAAAUAUAAUUUCAAUUUAAAUUUUUUAUUGAUGCACAUGGUGCAUGAAAACACUUACUAUAAUAAUACAUUUGCUAAAUAAAUUUAACUCUUAUCUUCCAAAAAGAAAACAAAUCUAAGUUAUUAUUAUGAUCAAACAGAAAUUCUUACACUCACAUAUCACAUUCACACAGGUUCAAAGAGAAGAAAAAAAAAGGAUUCAAAAGAAAAAAGCAAUGCAUGAGUCAUAUACAUAUUUAAAAUAUUAAUUAUGUAAGUUAUAAUUCAUGCUUAUUAUAUGAUAUUGACAUUAAAAAAUAUUUGGAUUCACUUUAAGUUCUAUUUUAAGGCAAUACUCUACGCGGUAGUUAUUAACUAAUAAAAUCAUGGUAACGUACCACAGUGCGGAUAGGUAGCAAAAGUUAUAAAGCUUAUCCACUGUGGAAAAUUCUGAGUUUCUUCUGUUUCUUUGAUUAAGGAGAUCUCUAUGCAACUUUUCCUCAAAUUAUUAAUUUAUACAUUUUGUUUUUUGAAAAAAUGUUAAAUUAAUUCAAACAAAAAAUACUGUUUACAAUCAAGGUUGCUUGUUUUAAGUUCAAAAGAAACUAAAACUUUGCUUUACAUUAGAAAAUAAGAUCAUGUAAAGGAGAACCAAGUUCCCAUAGCAUAGAUCCCUGGUAAGCUGAGUUGUGGCGACAUAUGAUGCUUGAGAUACGAUUUUGAACUUGUUUGUCGAUGAUUUUUAAUUUAUGAAAUUACAUCACAUGUGAACAUAUAAAGUGAAUUUCAGCUAUUCGGAUAUGGACAUAUCUAUAUAUAUCUCUUAGAAUAUAUUCUCACUAAUUUGCAUAUAUCUUAUAAAUCUAGUUUAGGAAUGAAAACCUUGUAUAAAGAGAAUGUCUUGGACCUAAAGAUUGAUACAGAAAACCUUUUACGAUACUCUUGUUUUCUGACAUAGCAUCAGAGCCAGGUUUUCUGACAUGGUAUCUUGUUAAAAUUUACACAAUUAAAAUAAGUACAUGAACCCAAACCUGAACUGAACCUGCAAUGAUCCAAACCAUAUUCAAACCGAAAUUUGUAAAUAUUUAAAUCAUAUUUAAAUUUCUAACUAUAAAAAACUGAUAUCUGAAUAGAUUAACUAAAUUCGAAUAGAUAUCUGAUUCUAGAAAAAAAUAUCAACAAAUCUCUUAUUACAAGCAAAGUAAAUAAUUUAAUCAAUUAUUUUAUUCUGCGCACAACGCGGAUUACUAUCUAGUUUAUAAGAAAAAUGGUGAAGAGAUUCUAAACAUAAAGCGUGCAAAAAAAACUUAUAUGAGUAUUAUGAUAAAGAUUUCUUAACACAUUUGUGCAUGGUCAAUACUGAAUAGUAUAGAUUGUUUCUAUUAUUAUAUCAAUCUCGCAUGUGGUCAAUUAGUAUAUUUUCUUUCCUAUUAUUAUUGUAUCGAUAUUAUAUGUGUCAAUAGUAUAUAUUCUCUUUCCUAUUAUCAUUGUUUUUAUUAAUUGUAUCAUACUCCAUUUUUCAUAUAAAUUGGACGAUACAGCCAAUCAUUUACUUUCAUAAAAAACUAUCUUAAGAAAACCAAGUCUUCUCUUGUUGCAUAAUUCCCUUCCCCACAUCAUGUCUAUGAAGAGUGUAUUUUUUCUCCUAUCGGUUAUAUGCUUUGCAAAUUCUGUGAAUGCUCAAUUACCUUCGUUUUGGCCUAACGUGACCCAAUGCCUAUCAACAUUGAAAAAUAUUUCGGGAUGUUUUGAAGGGAUCACUCAGUCUAUAUUGACUGGUAAAAUUGGUACGAUAACUCCUUAUUGUUGUAGACUUUUUUUGGGAGCUGUACCCGACUGUUUAGAACUACUUCCUGUCAAUCCUUUUCCUCCUAUGUUAAUGCAGAAAUGCUCCCAUAAUAUUUAAGAUUAUAUUUUAAAAUAGUUAUGUAAAAUUACAUUUUCUACAUAAAGGUUAAAUCCAAUAAUAUUCAAGAACAAAAGGAAGAUCUGAUAAUUCUAAUGUUCCUUUCUUAUAUUUUAGUCUAUGUAGCUUUCAUAUAAUAAUGCUUAUUAUUAUUUGAUUAAGAGGAUAUCCUUUUAAUAUCAAAAAUGUAUAUCAAUGAAGUUUAAGAAUAUGAUUAAUAUAAUUUCAAAGACAUGUCACUGAGGUUGGUUAAUGAAAGAAUCAUUUCUCUUUUUUUUUACCAACUUCAGUUUUCUAAUAACAUGACAAAACAAAAAUGACAACGAUUAAAAAAUAGAGAAACUAGAUAGAUAGGAUUUUUUUUUAACGCUGGUUUAUUAUGAUAUUACAAUUAUAAUAUAAGAAAGAUUACAUAGACGAUUCAAUAACUGACAAUACCACCUGCCUACUUACGCAUAAUUGCAUCACCUGAGCCGCGUAUGGAAAUCCACGUCUGACCAGAUUUACUUGCACAAUGUUAAAGAUCAUUUGUAAGUAUUUCUUUCAUAGUCUACAUAAUUGUUUAAUAAAUUGCUUUCUCCAGAAUUUGAAACCUGAAUUUUAUGUAAUCUGUAAAAAAUUGUAUAGUCAGGGAUUAGAUCUUCAGACUUGGAUAUAGAAACUUUUAAACUUUAACCAGCGGGCUACGGUGUUUCUAUGAUAAAUAGGUCUAAGACAAGUAUUUUUGUCACACUCUUUGUGUAAUUGCGAUAUAGCUGGCGGAGAUUUCCACACCUUAGAAGACAAACUUCAAAAUCGCUCAUCACACCUAUUUGGUCCAUAAGUUUCCGAUAGCAAGUCUAAUUUUUCAUUUAUAAUACCGCAAACACAUCCAUUAUACUUACCAAAUUAUACAAAAUUUACUUGACUGAUAUGAAUAUAUAUCUCGCAAGCACAAAGAACCAGCAACAUACAUUUCAAGGAAAACCUAACCACAAUCAGAGCCCGGACCUGAGAUUACGAGACUCAUCUAAAAAAAUACAAUUUUAUUUUUAAUAUGAAGACAUAAAUUUUAUAUUAAUUGAUAUAAAGAUGUCUAUUCAUUAGGUCAGUCACAAAUUUUAAUCUUUUUUGUUAUAGCUAAUUUUAACUGAACAUCACCAAAUUUCUUCAAAAUUACAAUAAUAAUAUCCACUAGACAUUAUUUGAGAAGUGAUUUGACACAUGUUCUCUCUACAAUUAUUUUCAUAAAAGAAAUGUGACUUGACUACUAAAAUUGAUGACAAUGUUUAUUGCUAAAUAUGACAUUAUAAAUUACAUUAAUUAUUGAUUUAUAUUUUUAGUAAAUCUUUUAUAAUAUGAUAAUAACUCAUACAUUACAUUUAAUAUUGAUUUAUAUUUUUGGUAAAUUUUUUAGAAUAUGACAAUAACUCAUACCUUUUUGUCAACAAUAAUAACUCAUACAUCAUUACUAAAAUAAAAAAAUUCAAAUAUGAAAUUAUAAUUUUUGAAAUAUUAUUCAAUUAUAUUUUUUUAUAUUUUCUACAAUUUUGCUUAAAACAUUAUAAAUUUUAGAAAUACUGUUUAAUUUUAAUUUUUGAUAAUUAUACAAUUUUAUAUCAAUUUUUUAUUAAUUUUAUGCAAGUUGAUUUAAUAUAUUUAACCAAAAGAAAUAUAUAAAAAUAUCUAUCUAAUAUUAUAUAUAUAUAUGCAUUCUUAAAUAUAUUUUAAAAAUAAUAAAUUAUUUUUAAUUCUGUUUCAUGUUUAACUAAAUCAAAUUUACAUUAAAAUAUUGAUAAGAAAAUAAUAAAAUUUACAUUAUUAAUAAAAUUUUAUUUUUAAAUAUAAUUUCAAUUUAAAUUUUUUAUUGAUGCACAUGGUGCAUGAAAACACUUACUAUAAUAAUACAUUUGCUAAAUAAAUUUAACUCUUAUCUUCCAAAAAGAAAACAAAUCUAAGUUAUUAUUAUGAUCAAACAGAAAUUCUUACACUCAUAUAUCACAUUCACACAGGUUCAAAGAGAAGAAAAAAAAAGGAUUCAAAAGAAAAAAGCAAUGCAUGAGUCAUAUACAUAUUUAAAAUAUUAAUUAUGUAAGUUAUAAUUCAUGCUUAUUAUAUGAUAUUGACAUUAAAAAAUAUUUGGAUUCACUUUAAGUUCUAUUUUAAGGCAAUACUCUACGCGGUAGUUAUUAACUAAUAAAAUCAUGGUAACGUACCACAGUGCGGAUAGGUAGCAAAAGUUAUAAAGCUUAUCCACUGUGGAAAAUUCUGAGUUUCUUCUGUUUCUUUGAUUAAGGAGAUCUCUAUGCAACUUUUCCUCAAAUUAUUAAUUUAUACAUUUUGUUUUUUGAAAAAAUGUUAAAUUAAUUCAAACAAAAAAUACUGUUUACAAUCAAGGUUGCUUGUUUUAAGUUCAAAAGAAACUAAAACUUUGCUUUACAUUAGAAAAUAAGAUCAUGUAAAGGAGAACCAAGUUCCCAUAGCAUAGAUCCCUGGUAAGCUGAGUUGUGGCGACAUAUGAUGCUUGAGAUACGAUUUUGAACUUGUUUGUCGAUGAUUUUUAAUUUAUGAAAUUACAUCACAUGUGAACAUAUAAAGUGAAUUUCAGCUAUUCGGAUAUGGACAUAUCUAUAUAUAUCUCUUAGAAUAUAUUCUCACUAAUUUGCAUAUAUCUUAUAAAUCUAGUUUAGGAAUGAAAACCUUGUAUAAAGAGAAUGUCUUGGACCUAAAGAUUGAUACAGAAAACCUUUUACGAUACUCUUGUUUUCUGACAUAGCAUCAGAGCCAGGUUUUCUGACAUGGUAUCUUGUUAAAAUUUACACAAUUAAAAUAAGUACAUGAACCCAAACCUGAACUGAACCUGCAAUGAUCCAAACCAUAUUCAAACCGAAAUUUGUAAAUAUUUAAAUCAUAUUUAAAUUUCUAACUAUAAAAAACUGAUAUCUGAAUAGAUUAACUAAAUUCGAAUAGAUAUCUGAUUCUAGAAAAAAAUAUCAACAAAUCUCUUAUUACAAGCAAAGUAAAUAAUUUAAUCAAUUAUUUUAUUCUGCGCACAACGCGGAUUACUAUCUAGUUUAUAAGAAAAACGGUGAAGAGAUUCUAAACAUAAAGCGUGCGGAAAAAAAAACUUAUAUGAGUAUUAUGAUAAAGAUUUUUUAACACAUUUGAGCAUGGUCAAUACUGAAUAGUAUAGAUUGUUUCUAUUAUUAUAUCAAUCUCGCAUGUGGUCAAUUAGUAUAUUUUCUUUCCUAUUAUUAUUGUAUCAAACUAUCAAUAUUAUAUGUGUUAGUAGUAUAUAUUCUCUUUCCUAUUAUCAUUGUUUUUAUUAAUUGUUUCAUACUCCAUUUUUCAUAUAAAUUGGACGAUACAGCCAAUCAUUUACUUUCAUAAAAAACUAUCUUAAGAAAACCAAUUCUUCUCUUGUUGCAUAAUUCCCUUCCCCACAUCAUGUCUACGAAGAGUGUAUUUUUUCUCCUAUCGGUUAUAUGCUUUACAAAUUCUGUGAAUGCUCAAUUACCUUCGUUUUGGCCUAACGUGACCCAAUGCCUAUCAACAUUGAAAAAUAUUCCGGGAUGUUUUGAAGGGAUCACUCAGUCUAUAUUGACUGGUAAAAUUGGUACGAUAACUCCUUAUUGUUGUCAACUUUUUUUGGGAGCUGUACCCGACUGUUUAGAACUACUUCCUGUCAAUCCUUUUCCUCCUAUGUUAAUGCAGAAAUGCUCCCAUAAUAUUUAAGAUUAUAUUUUAAAAUAGUUAUGUAAAAUUACAUUUUCUACAUAAGGGUUAAAUCCAAUAAUAUUCAAGA